UUUAGAGUAUGGAUCUCCGACCAUUGACCAAACUCCAGGUGAAACAACUGCCUAUUUAAACUUUCUCGGACUCGCUGCUGCUAGUACUCCCAGUCUGAUAGUCCUGGUGACCUGGGGGAGCUAAAGAGAAAUGCUGUGAAGUUAGCUGCUUCCUUGGGAUCUAGAACGCAUGGCCGGAUUGCAGCACUUACUGAACAAUGUUACGGGGAGAGAGAAAAAAAAGAUUGCAGCUUCUGAGAAACUGAUCGCAAUUCUUAAGGAAAGGAUCACUGAUCAGAGACUGAUGGAUCGCAUUACUAUAACUAUAACACAACGAAGUUGCAGUGCGAGAUUGUGCAGUGAUGUACUUCAACCGAGAUACUACAAUAGGGAACACUGAAAUCCACCGAAAUCCACGCAACAUAAGGCAUCAGAAGCCUAUUUAUUUAGUCAGAACUUGCAUGAGAAUCGCAUUGAGGUCAUUUUAAAAGAUGCUCAAUGCAAACCUUAGUGAAAACCAAUUCUCACCCAAAUGUCCACCAAAUAUAAUAGGAAAUCAGUUCUGGAGAAGCAUCAUCCCUGAAAGUAACCUAUCUUUUUGGAGAUGUUGACCUAACCUGGUGUGGGUUUGCAAAACAUUCUGGUUUUAUUUCAGAUUUCCAACAUUUGCAGUUUAUCUCUACUUAUUUAGAUUAGCCCGACUCUUGGAGUUGGUAAAGAAAGAGAGUUACACGAACAAAUAGUAGAUUAGCAUUUCUAAAGAUACAAAUUGGGACAACUAAUCUGCUGGGUAAGUGUGCAUUGUGUGCAAAAUAUACACUUCGACAAAAUGUCACUUGUUAUUAUAAAUGUAUCAUUUAAAUCUAAUCCCAACUGAUUUAACUCAUAUUGACCUACCCACAAACAGCAAAUGUUACAAUCCAGCCAAACUAGGGAGUACUCUCCUUCACCUGUGGAAGCAGUGAGCAUUCUCUUGUCUGAAAUAGACUAUCUAAGAAAAAACACCCCACCCCACCCUGCCAAAGGCGAUGUCUCUCAAUAUUUUACACCACACCCGGCAAUUGUACCUAUAACAGAAUACAACAACAACUUUCAUUUAUAUAGUGCCCCUCACGCAGAGUAGUGUCCCAGACCGCUUACCUUUCAUGGAUGCCUUUUAUGGAACUGUUUCCAUUCCUUACGUAAGAUAUAACAACACAGUGUUACAAAAUCUGUUUCAUCCAUCCAUACAUUGCAGAAAAUCACACUCCAAGCAAAUAUUUCCUUAACAGAAGUCACAUUGCAUUUCUAACAACAGAACAACUACAAGACCAGAGAUUCUUAAGAUGCUUGAAGGGCUGUUUUGAUGGCACUUCAUGCUCUGCAAUCCUCUCAGUGUAUCAGCUUCUCUUUUAUUUAAUUCUUUGCAUGCUUCUAAGUGUAUUUACUUCUGUUCAUCAAUAUAAAAGCAAAUUCCAGCUACAAGUCAAGAAUAGCUAGGGUGAAUUCCAGUGAGUAAGCACGAAGCCUAAACUACAAUUUCUGUUCUGCUCUGCAUUGUUGUUGAAAAAUCCCAGACACUGCAUUGAAUGUUUGUUUUGUAAUUUUAUUAAACAGCCACUUAAGGGGCCCUAAAAUAA